rnacentral:lncRNA from 1 species
GCUCCAGCUGGGCAGGUGGGACCCAGCACACACAGAGCACCAGGCAGGACUGCCAUGCAGCUCCCCUCCCAGGGCUCCCACCCACCAGGAGUUGUGCCCUGAAAACAGGCCAGAGGAGGCAGCCCCCUGUACCAUCAUGGAAGGGGACCCAGCUUCCCUGGGGCAGGAGGUCAGCAAGCCCUGCCCGAGCCCCAGCCUCAGCUCCAGCUCCAGCUCCUCCCAGGGAGACCUUGACAGCUCUGUGGAGUCCGGGAGCAACUUGCCCUAUGGCACCACCAUGAAAGUGAUUCCCUACCGGCCAGGCGAGGAGGCGGAGGAAGAGCAGGAGGGUGAAGACCUGAUGCUGCUGGAGGAAGAAGCCCUCACAAACAUCAUACUGCACCUCCAGGGCCAAGGAAAGGACAAGGAGCAUGGAGAGCCACCAAGUAGAGGGGAGAGGACACCCUGGAGCCAGAGAUCUGCAAAGUGGUCCUGAUACAGAAGAUCAUGCAAGCUGAAGCCAGCCCUGGAGCCAGCCAUGGAGUCGUGCCUGCUGCAGACCACCCUGAAGAUCUGCCUGACGUCCCCAACACUGAACAGCCUUUAUGUCAGGGUCAGUCCUCCUCCCGCUACACAGUCCUGCUGCCAUUGCCUGGCAGGUGCAGCCCCAGGCCUCAUGGUACUCAGCCUUGGCUAUCCUUCCCCUCCAGACCAAAGAGCAGAAGCACAUGGAGGACCUGGAGGCCAUGCUGAGGAGCCUGAUGGCCACCAAACCCAGCUUGGGCAGGCUGCAGUUCCUUUGGGAGGUGAGCACGGCGCGGAGGAGCUGGGCUCCGGGGAGGGACGGCCUCAGUGCCCUGUGAGCUGC